rnacentral:rRNA from 1 species
UAAUACGGAGGGUGCAAGCGUUGUUCGGAUUUACUGGGUGUAAAGGGUGUGUAGGCGGUAUUGUAAGUGGGAUGUGAAAUCUCCGAGCUCAACUUGGAAACUGCAUUCCAUACUGCGAAGCUAGAGUACCACAGAGGCAAAUGGAAUUCUCGGUGUAAGAGUGAAAUCUGCAGAUAUCGAGAAGAACACCAGUGGCGAAGGCGAUUUGCUGGGUGGAUACUGACGCUGAAACACGAAAGCUAGGGGAGCGAACGGGAUUAGAUACCCCGGUAGUCCUAGCCGUAAACGAUGGACACUAGGUGUUGGGAGGGUUAAACCUUUCAGUGCCGCAGCUAACGCAUUAAGUGUCCCACCUGGGGAGUACGGUCGCAAGGCUG